UGGAUGCUACUAGUUCUGCCUUUAUACAUGAACAGUUUCCCCUGCCUAUAUGUUUUGCCUCCUUCUCUGGUUUGUUGGGCAAUGAUGUAGGCCGGCCUGGUUUCUU
rnacentral:pre_miRNA from 1 species